rnacentral:tRNA from 2 species
GGGGCUGUAGCUCAGCUGGGAGAGCGGUUGGUUCGCAAUCAACAGGCCAGGGGUUCGAGCCCCCUCAGCUCCA